rnacentral:rRNA from 1 species
UGGGGAAUAUUGGACAAUGGGCGAAAGCCUGAUCCAGCAAUGCCGCGUGUGUGAAGAAGGCCUUCGGGUUGUAAAGCACUUUAAGUUGGGAAGAAAAAGCUCUGGCUAAUAUCUAGAGCCUUGACGGUACCAACAGAAUAAGCACCGGCUAACUCUGUGCCAGCAGCCGCGGUAAUACAGAGGGUGCUAGCGUUAAUCGGAUUUACUGGGCGUAAAGCGUGCGUAGGCGGUUUGAUAAGUCGAUUGUGAAAGCCCCGGGCUUAACCUGGGAAUUGCAGUUGAUACUGUCAGACUAGAAAACGGUAGAGGGAGGCGGAACUCCAGGUGUAGCGGUGAAAUGCGUAGAUAUCUGGAAGAACACCGAUGGCGAAGGUAACCUCCUGGGCCUGUUUUGACGCUGAGGCACGAAAGCGUGGGUAGCAAACAGGAUUAGAUACCCUGGUAGUCCACGCCGUAAACGAUGAGAACUUGACGUUGGUUUUGCUUAGCAAAUCGGUGUCGUGCUAACGCGAUAAGUUCUCCGCCUGGGGAGUACGGCC